CUGGGCGUGCUACCAUGCAAGUCGAACGUGAUCCGCCCUUCGGGGUGGUGAAAGUGGCGCACGGGUGAGUAACGCGUGGAUAAUCUGCCCGAGGAUUUGGGAUAACAUCUCGAAAGGGGUGCUAAUACCGAAUAAGCCCACGGGGUCUACGGAUCUUGCGGGAAAAGGGGGGGACCUUCGGGCCUCCUGUCCUUGGAUGAGUCUGCGUACCAUUAGCUAGUUGGUGGGGUAAUGGCCUACCAAGGCGACGAUGGUUAGCUGGUCUGAGAGGAUGAUCAGCCACACUGGAACUGAGACACGGUCCAGACUCCUACGGGAGGCAGCAGUGGGGAAUUUUGCGCAAUGGGGGAAACCCUGACGCAGCAACGCCGCGUGGGUGAUGAAGGCCUUCGGGUCGUAAAGCUCUGUCUGGAGGGAAGAAAUGAUUGGGAGCUAAUACCUCUUGAUCUUGACGGUACCUCUGAAGGAAGCACCGGCUAACUCCGUGCCAGCAGCCGCGGUAAUACGGAGGGUGCAAGCGUUGUUCGGAAUUAUUGGGCGUAAAGCGCGUGUAGGCGGUCUUUUAAGUCUGAUGUGAAAGCCCCGGGCUCAACCUGGGAAGUGCAUUGGAAACUGGGAGGCUUGAGUACGGGAGAGGAGAGUGGAAUUCCUAGUGUAGGAGUGAAAUCCGUAGAUAUUAGGAGGAACACCGGUGGCGAAGGCGGCUCUCUGGACCGAUACUGACGCUGAGACGCGAAAGCGUGGGUAGCAAACAGGAUUAGAUACCCUGGUAGUCCACGCCGUAACGAUGAGUACUACGUGUUGCGGGUAUUGACCCCUG
rnacentral:rRNA from 1 species